GAUCCCAGCACCAAACGGUGCCGUCUUUGAGAGUAGUGGCAUCUCAUUCAUCUUGUACUCCCCUGUUCUUCCACACACCUGGCACAUGGAAGGCUUCUAGUAAAUCCUGACAUUAACUGGACUGAAAGCACCCCCUCCCCACCUUGGUCUCCUGGCUUCCCAACCUAGUUUUCAACUGUGGAGUAACAUGAAGAGUGACCUAGGAGCCUGUAAGUCUCCUCCAUUGUAGUCAGAUAGAACCCAGACUGAAGACGAUGAAAGAACUCAGUCUCCCCAAACAUCAAGAAGUGACCUUUUCCUGGUGAGUGCAUUAAAGUGCAUUGUCUGUGAUACCCGGGAGCUGCUCAGAAGACUUAGUGAGUCCAGGAAUUUCUGAAAGGUGUAUUCUCCAGAUCCUUAGAAGCUUAUUCUUGAAAAUACCUUAAAAAUCAGCAUGAGACUUAGUCAUAAGAUGGAAACACCAUUUCAGUGACCUAAACCAACUGUUGACAAAGUAUUUUAAAUCCAAAUGGAAAAUUAUCUUCACAACUUGAAGUUUAUCUCCAAUGGAAGAAUUACUGAUGAGACAGUGGGUCACUCUCAAAAAGAUAUGUUGAAAUACAAUCCCUAUUGUUGCCGUAUUUGGAGAGUGCAACACCCUCAUGAAUGGGACCAGUGCCUUUAUAAGGAGAGGUCAGAGAGCCAGCUCACUCUUCUUCUGUCCCGUGAGGACACAACAAGAAGUUGGCAGUCUGCAAACUGGACAAGAGCUGUCACCAGAAUUCAAACAAGGUGGCACCCUGAUCUCUCCCCAGCCUUCAGAAACUACAAUGCUGCACAGUAUGCAACCACCAACCAAGAGAGGAUCUUUUUAGCAUUUUUGUCUGAACACAAAUGCCCUGAAGAAAAUAGAAGAGAAAUCCUGCCUGUGGUCAUAACUAAGCAGUAUGUGUCAUUUUAAUGGAAGCCAAAAUAGCCUGAGUGCCAACAUUUACAUGAAUGUCUGAGUUUCAAGUGAUGGGAGCAAGGUAAAUAAAACAUUAUGCUCUCCAGCAAGCCUGUCUGCAUAUUAAUGAGGUGCGGUCUCCAGGAAGCUGAUGCAACCUCUAGAGAGUAAAGAGGCACAGGAUUCUCACAACUGAACUGAGCAACCACUUCAGGAAUUUCAAGUGAAGGAGAUCUGGGAAAACCAAAGCCCUCCUGCCUGCCUCCUCACUGGCGGACACAGCAGCGCUCAGCUUUGGACUGGUCACCCCCUGCACGUGGGCGUCUCUGCAGCUGCAAAUUACCAGGCACCCAAGGUGGACUAUCAGUUGACUAUUAAGAGACUCCUCAAAUUUUGUCAUUUCCAGCCAAGUGCUCAAGUUGAGACAGCUGGGCUCUCCGUGGGAGAGAAUGGCACACCUUGGUGUCACUGAGGCUCUGAAUGAACCCGAUGAGGAUGGCUUCCUGCCCCACCUCUCACUUGCCUCAUCCACCACAUUCCCCUCUCUCUGGAUGGUGGCUCUUGGUUCUUCACCCAAAAAGUGUCUCCAGAGUGUAGCAACUGGGUGCAAAGCAUGCUUAUUACUUCAUGGCAUCCAUCACAGGAGUAAUGGCAGUGCAGGGAUUUUCUCUCUAUUUAUGUAAACACCACAUACUAUCCUUGAUUCUGCCACUUCUCUAAUAAAAUUGAAAAUCGUUA